rnacentral:misc_RNA from 1 species
CUACGGAGUACAUUAAGUUACAAUUCAUUUUAGUAACAAUUACCUAUUUUACAUGGUUAUCAAUUAUUUAAUUUUAACGUCAUGUGUCGCAUGAUAACCCGACAGUAUAUCUAGUUUUGAGAGAAUUUCUCUCUUUGUUCUUUGAAAACUAAAUAGUAAAGAUAAAUUAAUAUAACAACGACAUCAAAAAAAUAAAUUAGUCAAUUUGUUUUGUGAUACCGAGUAAUUAUUAUUAAAUAUAAUAAUUUAUUAAAAUGUCUUUGAAUACAUCAACAACAAUAGGAAAAUAUUGA